UGGUGGAGCGAUUUGUCUGGUCAAUUCCGAUAACGAACGAGACUCUAGCCUACUAAAUAGUUCGGGGACCCCCACAAAGGGGCCCCGCUUCAACUUCUUAGAGGGACAGGUGGCGAUUAGCCACACGAGAUUGAGCAAUAACA
rnacentral:rRNA from 1 species